rnacentral:rRNA from 1 species
AUACGGAGGAUGCAAGCGUUAUCCGGAUUUAUUGGGUUUAAAGGGUGCGUAGGCUGACGUGUAAGUCAGAGGUGAAAUGCCCGGGCUCAACCUGGGAACUGCCUUUGAUACUGCAUGUCUGGAGUUCGGAUGCCGUGGGAGGAAUGGGCAGUGUAGCGGUGAAAUGCAUAGAUAUUGCCCAGAACACCGAUUGCGAAGGCAUCUCACGAAUCCGACACUGACGCUGAGGCACGAAAGCGUGGGGAUCAAACAGGAUUAGAUACCCUGGUAGUCCACGCAGUAAACGAUGAUAACUAACCGUCGGCGAUAGACAGUCGGUGGCCAAGCGAAAGCGAUAAGUUAUCCACCUGGGGAGUACGUUCGCAGGAAUGAAACUCAAAUGAAUUGACGGGG